rnacentral:rRNA from 1 species
UACGUAGGGUGCGAGCGUUAAUCGGGAUUCCUGGGCGUAAAGUGUGCGCAGGCGGCCGCGCAAGUCGAGUGUGAAAGCCCCGAGCUUAACUUGGGAAUUGCGCUCGAAACUACGUGGCUGGAGUGUGGCAGAGGAAGGUGGAAUUCCACGUGUAGCGGUGAAAUGCGUAGAGAUGUGGAGGAACACCGAUGGCGAAGGCAGCCUUCUGGGCCAACACUGACGCUCAUGCACGAAAGCGUGGGGAGCAAACAGG